CGGCUCUCACAGGAGCUCGGUUGAAAUCCUGAAGGUGGUCGACCACCGUAGAAACUUGGGUGGAGUCUGAUUACUGUAGAAAUCUCAUUGUCGGAGAAGCUCGGAUAUUGACGAAGUCCGGAGGAAGUUCGGAGAAUAGUUGAUCACUGUAGAAGGUCGGCUGAUAGUGAGGCCUAGAGAGCCUUCGAUGUGGCCUGGU
rnacentral:lncRNA from 1 species